rnacentral:lncRNA from 1 species
CGCACCCCGCGGAAGCCAGAGCUCGGGCCCUGGCGUCACCAGGCCAAUUGGGAAAGCGGCGCCGGGAGCCACGGGGAGGGGAGAUGAAAGGCGGGAGGCGGGUGUGGGCCGCCCGCAGCGCCAGGUGAGGGCCGAGAGCCCCGCCCCGCGCCUGGGGACCAGACUGGCUUCCGCCUCUCCAGCUCGGACUGCCGACUGCAGGACCCGGGUGCACGUCACCCCCAGAGGGAGGAUCUCAUCCCUACGUCGGCAGCCAGCUGGUCCCAGGUUGUUAGACAUGAAUCUAGGUACUCCCUGAUUUGUGU